rnacentral:rRNA from 1 species
GACGACCGGCGCACGGGUGCGUAACGCGUAUAGAAUCUACCUUGUACUGAGGAAUAGCCUUUGGAAACGAAGAUUAAUGCCUCAUAGUAUAUCGGUUCGGCAUCGAGUUGAUAUUAAAGAUUACGGUAUAAGAUGACUAUGCGUUCUAUUAGCUAGAUGGUGUGGUAACGGCACACCAUGGCGACGAUAGAUAGGGGCCCUGAGAGGGGGAUCCCCCACACUGGUACUGAGACACGGACCAGACUCCUACGGGAGGCAGCAGUGAGGAAUAUUGGACAAUGGAGGCAACUCUGAUCCAGCCAUGCCGCGUGCAGGAAGACUGCCCUAUGGGUUGUAAACUGCUUUUAUACAGGAAGAAACACCUCUACGUGUAGAGACUUGACGGUACUGUAAGAAUAAGGAUCGGCUAACUCCGUGCCAGCAGCCGCGGUAAUACGGAGGAUCCAAGCGUUAUCCGGAAUCAUUGGGUUUAAAGGGUCCGUAGGUGGAUAAUUAAGUCAGAGGUGAAAUCCUGCAGCUCAACUGUAGAAUUGCCUUUGAUACUGGUUAUCUUGAGUUAUUAUGAAGUAGUUAGAAUAUGUAGUGUAGCGGUGAAAUGCAUAGAUAUUACAUAGAAUACCAAUUGCGAAGGCAGAUUACUAAUAAUCAACUGACACUGAUGGACGAAAGCGUGGGGAGCGAACAGGAUUAGAUACCCUGGUAGUCCACGCCGUAAACGAUGGUCACUAGCUGUUCGAACUUCGGUUUGAGUGGCUAAGCGAAAGUGAUAAGUGACCCACCUGGGGAGUACGUUCGCAAGAAUGAAACUCAAAGGAAUUGACGGGGGCCCGCACAAGCGGUGGAGCAUGUGGUUUAAUUCGAUGAUACGCGAGGAACCUUACCAGGGCUUAAAUGUAAAUUGACAGGUUUAGAGAUAGACUUUUCUUCGGACAAUUUACAAGGUGCUGCAUGGUUGUCGUCAGCUC